AUUUGGUUGAAGAAAGAAGUCGUGAGGAUAAUAAUAUGAACUUGUUUUGUAAUUUUUACAAAGUUUUUUCUAGAAUCUAAAUUAAGAAUGGAUAAAAGAUUUUUUAUGAUAAAAAUUGAACUUUUAUAGCAAGUUUUGGCAGGAGUGGAGGAUCUAUGACAAUUUUGGAUGAAGAGUCUAAUAAUCUUCUUAGUUUCUACUUCUCAAGCUAAAAAAUAUCACUACUAUAAUUUACGCAUUUAACCACCAAUCAAGAACGAGAAAAAAAAAUUUGUCGUUGAUGGGCGAAAUAAACCAGUGUAUCACGAUAAACUUAAGUGGGGGUCGUAAUUAGUUUAGGAAAAGAUCUAAACGAUUCAAUUUUGUCAAGUUCAUGUUCAUAUUAAGUUAAAUGGAUUGAGAAUAUCUUGAACUAACCCAACCCAUUCAAUUUAACAGGCCGAAACACCUGAAACUUAUUCAACCUGUUUGAUCAAUCAUUUUCGUCACAUGACCUAUAUAUCUCAGCAUUAAAAUAUUCUUUAUUGCGCUUGUCUUAGUUGUUCCAUUGUGUUUUUCAGUUUUGGCCAACCCCUAAUUUUUGAGUAUUUUGAUAUUUAAGAUAAUGUUUCAAAUUGUAAAAAAAUCUAUAGGUUUCAAAUAGGUACUCUUCGUUUCUUUUUAUUUUAUUUGAAAACUUAACUCUUGCCCAACCUAUUUAUUUAAAAGAGUUAAUUGUGUUAGCUCUUUUGAAGUAACAAGUUAAAAAUAUCAGCAUUAACCCGCUUAGUUUGUCUGUGAUUCAUGUUAAUCUAUGAUGUGAGAUUAACUCUUAACUUCUCUAAUAUCACCAUGAGUCCAUGAGUGUACACGACCACAUUCAUGCUGUCUGAAUGUUCCCUCAUUGUUGAAGAGUUGAAGCAAACAUCAUUGUGUUUUCAAGCCAACAACUGUGGAUGUGGUGAAUCUGAAGGCAUUACAAAAGGGGGUCAUGCAGCUUGGAUCAAAGAUAACUCUUGAUCAUGCCAAACGUAGACUUCAUAUGGAGGAAAUUCAGACAAUAAUGGCAGAAGAACCAAUUGCGUGAUACGGUACAAGAAGAAAACAAUGCACUUAAGAGCCACAUGAGUUCAGUUGAAGAUGAGCUUAUAUUAUUUAAAGAAGUGUUACUGCAACGGCUUAAGGCUCCAAGAGAGGAGACUUCAACUAUUUAGAUUUUAUUUUGUUCUAUUAGAUUGAACAUGAGUUAUUUAUUUAUUAGUUUUUUAGAAUUUAAAGACAAAGAGAUGUAAUUGUUGGGUUCAUAUAACUUGAAGUU